UACGUAGGGGGCAAGCGUUGUCCGGAUUUAUUGGGCGUAAAGAGCGUGUAGGCGGCCAGGUAGGUCUGCUGUGAAAACUCGAGGCUCAACCUCGAGACGCCGAUGGAAACCAUGUGGCUAGAGUCCGGAAGAGGAGAGUGGAAUUCCUGGUGUAGCGGUGAAAUGCGCAGAUAUCAGGAAGAACACCCGUGGCUAAGGCGGCUCUCUAGUACGGUACUGACGCUGAGACGCGAAACGUGGGGAGCGAACAGG
rnacentral:rRNA from 1 species